rnacentral:rRNA from 1 species
CGCCAGACUCCUACGGGAGGCAGCAGUGGGGAAUAUUGCACAAUGGGGGAAACCCUGAUGCAGCGAUGCCGCGUGGAGGAAGAAGGUUUUCGGAUUGUAAACUCCUUUUAUCAGGGACGAUAAUGACGGUACCUGAGUAAGAAGCCCCGGCUAACUACGUGCCAGCAGCCGCGGUAAUACGUAGGGGGCAAGCGUUAUCCGGAUUUACUGGGUGUAAAGGGAGCGUAGACGGCACAGCAAGUCUGAAGUGAAAGCCCAAGGCUCAACCAUGGGACUGCUUUGGAAACUGUUAAGCUAGAGUGCUGGAGAGGUAAGCGGAAUUCCUAGUGUAGCGGUGAAAUGCGUAGAUAUUAGGAAGAACACCAGUGGCGAAGGCGGCUUACUGGACAGUAACUGACGUUGAGGCUCGAAAGCGUGGGGAGCAAACAGGAUUAGAUACCCUCGUA